GCACCCGCGGUAAUUCCAGCACCAAUAGCGUAUAUUAAUGCUGCUGCUGUUAAAAAGCUCGUAGUUGGAUCAAGAGUUGGACAGUGCACGGUGGCCCCAUUUGUGUGGCUGGCUCCGGUCAGUUACACGGUGGCGGAACAACCCCGUGCGCCAAACUGUCCACUCUAACAGACCGAAGCGGUUCCCUGUGAGUAGGCUCCUUAAUUGGGGCUGAAAGCGCCUACGCAUCAACCAUAUGCAUACGGGACGUCGGUCAAAGUUACUGUGAACAAACCAGCGUGUCCAAGGCAGGCUUUCGCCUGAAUGUUCGAGCAUGGAAUAACAAGGGAUCGAUUCUCUCGGUUCUUUUCGUUGGUUUUUAACCCGAGAAGGAGAAAUUCAGGCCACGGUGUCUGAGUUGGGUUUCCCAGGGCUUCGGCUCUGGCCCCAAUUAGGCCGUGUCCUUACGGGAUCAAUAGGGACUGACGGGGUCGUACCUACUUCCGCGUCAGAGGUGAAAUUCUUAGAUCGCGGGAAGAGGAACUUCAGCGAAAGCAUUCGACAAGAAUGUCUUCAUUAAUCAAGAACGAGAGUGUGGGGAUCGAAGAUGAUCAGAUACCGUCGUAGUCCACUACUGUAAACAAUGCCGUCUCAGGAUUGAGAAGUGAACAGAAUGACUUUCACAGCACUAACCCCUGAAACGAGAAAUCAAAGAUUAUGGGUUCAGGGGGGAGUACAUUCGCAAGGCUGAAACUUAAAGGAAUUGACGGAAUGACACCACAAGGCGUGGAGUAUGCGGCUUAAUUUGACUCAACACGGGGAAUUUUACUAGGUCAGGACAAUGUAAGGAUUGACAGAUUGAGAGCUCUUUCUCGAUCCAUUGUGUGGUGGUGCAUGGCCGCUCCUGGUUGGUGGAGUGAUUUGUCUGGUUGAUUCCGUUAACGAACGAGAUCUCGACCCUUAAAUAGGUGCGCAUGUCGAUUGUAGCUUCACCUCCGCCAGCUUGCUGGAUUGGAGUGGGGCGAGACUGUGCGAAUACUUCUUAGGGGGACUGUGUGCGUCUAUAGCACGCGGAAGAGCGAGCCAAUAGCAGGUCUGUGAUGCUCCUAAAUGUCCUAGGCUGCACGCGCACUACACUGAUGCAAUAAACGAGUCUGAGUGCCUUCUGGCAACCUACCUGGAAGCGGGUGGGAAAUCUUUUGAACUUGCAUCGUGAUGAG
rnacentral:rRNA from 1 species